AGAAAAAUAAAAAAAAUAUAUUUUUUAAUUAUUUUCUUUUCUCUCUUAUUUUGUAUCCAAACAUAGCAUUAAUGUUGGAUUUUAAAUAUCUGAUGUUGGGUUCUUCGUCCAAACUGAUCAUAAAGAUUAAGCUACGCAAUGAGAACCUUCAGUUCUUUGUUUUUACUCUGGAGAGUGAACAACCUAUUUACAAAUCGAAAUUGCUUGGAAAAAGAAAAUUAUAAUUUCAGUGAAUCAUGCGAUCCCAUUCAUUUGAGGAUACAAUUCUGAUGGUGUUUCGGAACUGCCAUGUGCCGAUUGUGUUUCAAACGUCUCUAAUAGCGAUACCCAAAGCACAAUCCCAUUUUUUCCUCUUACGUUGAGUUGGUUGAGAGGGAGUUAAAAGGAUGGGGUGUGAGUGGAGAUUAAUCGUUUAAUCUUAUUUAUGAGUUAUAUUAAAAUGUAAAUGGAGGUUAAUAAAUUUUAAAUAUUUAUUAUCCAUUAACGUAUGAAGGAGGUUAAUAAAUCUUCUAGUCUUAUGACUUUUCUGGUUUUGUAUGCUGAAAUUGUGGCUGGGAGGAAUCAUCAAGUAGUUGCAGCAGCAAAGUUUGCUUAUAAAGCUAUGCCUUCUUUGUUGGACAUUAAACCCCUGGAAGUCAACGAUGGAAGUUGUCGUUUCUUGGGGCCCCCUGCCUGAUGAAUGGGUUAAAGUUAAGACGGAUGACUGUUAGAGGAAGGGGUAAUUUGGUUUUGGGAGGGGCUUUGCUAAGGGAUUCUUCGAACCGCUGGAUUUCUGGUUUCGUUGCUAAUUGGGGCUCUUGCUCUGUCCCUGUCUAUAUUAAAGGUCUUAUGUUAGCUAAAUCUGCUGGGUUUAAAAAAGUUGUGGUAGGGAGCGAUAGCUCAACCGCAGUUGCUCUGAUUUUGGAUAAUAAAGUGCUCCCUUGUCAUCUUCGUGCUCUGGUUCUCAUGGUUCGCAAGCUUCUCCAUGGGGAGUGGACAAUCAAGGUGCAACAUGUUUUUAGAGAAGGAAACUUUUGCGUAGACAUAUUAGCUGCGCUUGCUGUUUCUUAUCAUGUUUGUGUUCAUUACUUUCAAUCUCCCGCGUCGGUUAGGAGUGCGCAGUUUGGAUUCAGUUCGAAAUUUGUCCAGGAAUCGAUAUGAAUUUUUGGUAAGGUUUCAGUUUGGUUAUUUGUUGUUUUGGUUUCGAUUCAGUACGGUUCUCGGUCUUCGAUUUCAGUUUGAUUGGAUAUGAUUUCGGUUCGGUUUCGAUUCUUGAAACAAUUUUAUAUAAUUAUUUCUUUAAAAAGUCAUUCUUGA
rnacentral:misc_RNA from 1 species